AGAAGGCUUCCGCGGCGGUGACGUUUCGGGGGCCUUUUCUUUUGC
rnacentral:antisense_RNA from 2 species